rnacentral:rRNA from 1 species
UACGAAGGGUGCAAGCGUUAAUCGGAAUUACUGGGCGUAAAGCGUGCGCAGGCGGUUCGGUAAGACAGAUGGGAAAUCCCAGGGCUUAACCUUGGAACUGCAUUUUUAACUGCCGGGCUAGAGUAUGUCAGAGGGGGGUAGAAUUCCACGUGUAGCAGUGAAAUGCGUAGAGAUGUGGAGGAAUACCGAUGGCGAAGGCAGCCCCCUGGGACAACACUGACGCUCAGGCACGAAAGCGUGGGGAGCAAACAGG